AUGAACGUUAGUGAUGUUCUCAUCUACAUGGCCAUCAUCGGCAACGGUGAUGACAUCUAUGUCACAUAUAGCCUCUCUGAUGGCGCCCCACCCACAAGGACAGUGUUGACCUAUUCUGGUCAGUAUCACAUUGCGAUCUGGAGUAGCAGGUUGUCGGUGUGGGUUGUCGUUUCGAUGUGGUCUGCUGAAUGCAAUCGCUAUGGUCAUUGUGGCCCAUAUGGCUACUGCGACAAGACAGUCGUGCCUAUCCCAACUUGCAAGUGCCUAGAUGGCUUCGAGCCAGCAAACAAGGAGGAGUGGACUAGUGGCAAGUUCUUGGCGGGGUGCCGGCGGAAGGAGCUGUUGCACGGGUGCACAAGUAAUUACUUGGCCAUGUUGGGGAUGAAGUCUCCAGAUAAAUUUGCGCUUGUCGGAGGGGGCAGAAGUACGUCUGAGGAGUGUUUGGCGGAGUGCAACCGCAACUGCUCCUGUGUGGGGUAUGUGCAUCGCAACGUCAGUAGUGGCAGUUUCGGAGGAGCCGCGACAAUGUGCUUGUUAUGGGCUGGGGAUUUGAUUGACACUGGAAAAUUACGCGAGCCUGGUGGAGAGACGCUCUAUCUACGACUAGCAGGUAAAAGGCGAAAAAGUAAUGCAGUUAGGAUUAUGCUGCCAGUUCUAAUCAGUAGUUUUUUCGCAGUCAUAUGCAUCUCUCUUGCAUGGUUAAAGUGCAAAGGCAAGAACAAAAAUUGCAGAAGGCACAAGAAUAUAAGAUUGGAUGGUAUGAGUACCUCCGAAGAACUUGGUAGAGAUGAGGCUCCUCAUGAUCAAGAUUUUCCAUUCGUAAGAUUAGAGGAAAUUUUUCUUGUGACCCACAAUUUCUCUGAAGCAUGUAAUAUUGGACAAGGAGGAUUUGGCAAAGUAUACAAGGGACUAUUAGGUGGUCAAGAAGUCGCAAUCAAGAGGCUAAGUAGAGAUUCUCAACAAGGAACAAAAGAAUUCAGGAACGAAGUAAUUCUAAUUGCAAAAUUGCAACAUAGAAACUUGGUUCGACUUCUUGGGUGUUGUGAUGAAGGAGGUGAAAAGCUCUUGAUAUAUGAGUAUCUUCCUAACAAGAGCUUGGAUGCUACCCUUUUUGAUGACUCAAGAAAAUUGUUGUUGGAUUGGGAAAAACGGUUUAGUAUAAUCAAAGGGGUUGCAAGGGGGCUUCUAUAUCUUCAUGAAGAUUCAAGGUUCACCAUAAUUCAUAGGGACCUAAAAGCUGGAAAUGUUUUGCUAGAUGCAUACAUGAAACCCAAGAUAGCUGACUUUGGUAUGGCAAGGAUCAUUGGUGAUAACCAGCAAAAUGAAAAUACCCAACGUGUAGUUGGAACAUAG
rnacentral:rRNA from 1 species